rnacentral:lncRNA from 1 species
AUAUCAGAGUGUAUUUGGCAAGAAAGAUUGCUUUUUUAAAAACCUUAGCUUUCACUAUACUUUUACUUUUUACAAAUUUACUUUUUUGAACCACUAGAACAUAAUAUUGGGCACCAUUAAUAUUAUCUUUUAGGUCAACUAAGAGUGUAAGAACCUACGACAUUUUUCUGCAUGAAUACAUUUUUCUUGGUGACAAAUUUUGAUAGAGCAAAAUGUUAUUUGAUAGUAAAACAAAUCUAUCUUAGAGAGGAAAUAAUAAUCAAUCAGUCCAUAAAGACUGGUGGGUAAGGUUUCUUUAAGGCCAGACAGAAUCUUGGGAAGGUGCCCCUUGGAAUUCUGGGUAAGCUGAUUCAGUUGGGGUUUUCCAAUUGCCAAUGGAUUCCUGGAGGUUUUCCCCUUAGGAGAAGGCUGAUGUUUCUGUUCCCCGAAACACUGAAAAACCCAGUGACAGGAGGAGGAGGAGAACAGGAAGGUUUAGAGGGAGAAACUAAAGUAUCCCAAGAUACAAAAGGUACUCUGGUGUACUUUCUGAAAAAUAUAAUAUCUUCCCAACUUUUGAUUGACAAGACUACUUGCACUGCUGGAAAACAUCUCUCCUGAAAUUGUAAUUUGCUGCCCUCAAUUUGGGAAGAAAAAUAGAAAGCAGAAAAGACAUUCAACAGGGAACAAGACUCAUCCUUAUCUUUUCUACUUGGGCCUCUGCCUUAGAUACCAGGUGCUGGCAGAUGGUCAAUACAAUAUCAUUAUAAUAAGUAAAAAGAUUCUUCCCUUAUGAGAAUACUAGCAAGGAAGAGCUUCUUACCACAUGAAAGGGCUGAAAGAAGAUUAAGAUGAAAGGAAAAGUAACUCCCUUUUUAAAGGUUUCCUGAGUGGGCAACACUUCUUGGCUCAGUAGUUAAUUUUCUUUAAUGAUUUAAUUCUUGUACCCUCCUGCUAUCAAAGUGUAUGCUAUCAAGAGAUAACCAAAUUUUCAUCAUGCUAUAAUGGCAAGGUCUUCAGAAGGGAGCACAUAUUUCCCUAGAAAUGACCAGAACAACUGAGAGCAUGUUCCAUGGGAUUAUUCCCAAUAUAUACAAAAAAUUUUCAAUUCCUAUUUCUUAGAGAAUACCUAUUUUAAUUUUCAUAGUUGUGAAAUAUUAAAUUGAGAAAUAUGUCAAAAUAUAUGGGAUUAGAUACUUAGGGGUUAAACCAAUUUCUAGUGGACAAAAGUGUUCAUGGGAAAUAAGAUGAGAAUAAGGAAUCAGGAGUAGAAAUAGUGCACUUUAAAAAAAUCCUUUUCAAGGGUAUGUGGAAAUAAUGGGUUUGAAAUAUUACAUAUUUUCAGAUAUGAAAGAAGCUGAUUAGUUUUAAUGAAUUUUAUUUAUUCAUUAAUAUUUGUCAUAAGAUGAAGUUUACUGGGUAUAAGAGGGGGAAGAUGUAUAUUCAGAAUUAAAUAU